AUUGAACGCUGGCGGCAUGCUUUACACAUGCAAGUCGAGCGGCAGCGCGGGGGCAACCCUGGCGGCGAGCGGCGAACGGGUGAGUAAUGCAUCGGAACGUAUCCUGUAGUGGGGAAUAACUCACCGAAAGGUGAGCUAAUACCGCAUAAGCUCUGAGGAGGAAAGCGGGGGACCGAAAGGCCUCGCGCUGCAGGAGCGGCCGAUGUCCGAUUAGCUAGUUGGUGAGGUAAAGGCUCACCAAGGCGACGAUCGGUAGCUGGUCUGAGAGGAUGAUCAGCCACACUGGGACUGAGACACGGCCCAGACUCCUACGGGAGGCAGCAGUGGGGAAUUUUGGACAAUGGGGGCAACCCUGAUCCAGCCAUUCCGCGUGAGUGAAGAAGGCCUCGGUUGUAAGUACUCUUUCUAGCAGGAACGAAACGGUAGG
rnacentral:rRNA from 1 species